GGGCUCGUAGCUCAGCAUGGAAGAGCGAUUGCCUCCUAAGCAAUAGGCCUAGGGUUCAAAUCCCUAUGAGCCCG
rnacentral:tRNA from 1 species